rnacentral:rRNA from 1 species
GACGAACGCUGGCGGCGUGCUUAACACAUGCAAGUCGAACGAUGAACUACCAGCUUGCUGGUGGGGAUUAGUGGCGAACGGGUGAGUAACACGUGAGUAACCUGCCCUGGACUCUGGGAUAACCCCGAGAAAUCGGAGCUAAUACCGGAUAGGACCUUUCCCUGCAUGGGGUUUGGUGGAAAGUUUUUCGGUCUGGGAUGGACUCGCGGCCUAUCCGCUUGUUGGUGAGGGAAUGGCUCACCAAGGCGUCGACGGGUGGCCGGCCUGAGAGGGUGACCGGCCACACUGGGACUGAGACACGGCCCAGACUCCUACGGGAGGCAGCAGUGGGGAAUAUUGCACAAUGGGCGCAAGCCUGAUGCAGCAACGCCGCGUGCGGGAUGACGGCCUCCGGGUUGUAAACCGCUUUUAGUAGGGAAGAAGGGCUUCGGCUUGACGGUACCUGCAGAAAAAGGACCGGCUAACUACGUGCCAGCCGCCGCGGUAACAC